AAAGGCACGACAUUGCUCACAUUGCUUCCAGUAUUUUUAUUAGCCGGCUCGGGUGCCGGCUAUUUUUU
rnacentral:antisense_RNA from 2 species